rnacentral:misc_RNA from 1 species
CAACCCCUCAAGCUCGGCUUGUGUGAUGGACGACCGUCCGGCCCCCUCUUUCGGGGGCGGGACGCGCCCGAAAAGCAGUGGCCAGGCCGCGAUUCCGGCUUCCUGGGCGAAUGGGCAAUCAAACCAGCGCCCUCAGGACCGGCCGCUCUGGCCUUCCCCCAAAUCUCUCUGAGAUUUUUUUCAG